rnacentral:rRNA from 1 species
UAAUACGGAGGGUGCGAGCGUUGUCCGGAAUCACUGGGCGUAAAGGGCGCGUAGGUGGCCCGUUAAGUGGCUGGUGAAAUCCCGGGGCUCAACUCCGGGGCUGCCGGUCAGACUGGCGAGCUAGAGCACGGUAGGGGCAGAUGGAAUUCCCGGUGUAGCGGUGGAAUGCGUAGAGAUCGGGAAGAAUACCAGUGGCGAAGGCGUUCUGCUGGGCCGUUGCUGACACUGAGGCGCGACAGCGUGGGGAGCAAACAGGAUUAGAUACCCUGGUAGUCCACGCCGUAAACGAUGGACACUAGACGUCGGGGGGAGCGACCCUCCCGGUGUCGUCGCUAACGCAGUAAGUGUCCCGCCUGGGGAGUACGGCCGCAAGGCUG